GGCCCGUAGCUCAGAGGUCAGAGCAGACGGCUCAUAACCGUUCGGUCCCAGGGUCGAAUCCUGGCGGGGCCACCA
rnacentral:tRNA from 1 species